GAUGAACGCUAGCGGCAGGCCUAACACAUGCAAGUCGAGGGGGAAGUUACUUUCGGGUGACUGAGACCGGCGUACGGGUGCGUAACGCGUAUACAAUCUGCCUUUCACUGGGGGAUAGCCCGAAGAAAUUUGGAUUAAUACCCCAUAGUAUAUAGGGACGGCAUCGUUUUUAUAUUAAAGCUUAGGUGGUGAAAGAUGAGUAUGCGUUCUAUUAGCUAGUUGGAGAGGUAACGGCUCCCCAAGGCGAUGAUAGAUAGGGGUUCUGAGAGGGAUGUCCCCCACACUGGUACUGAGAUACGGACCAGACUCCUACGGGAGGCAACAGUGAGGAAUAUUGGACAAUGGUCGGAAGACUGAUCCAGCCAUGCCGCGUGCAGGAUGAAGGUCUUAUGGAUUGUAAACUGCUUUUGUAAGGGAAGAAUAAGGGCUACGCGUAGUUUGAUGACGGUACCUUACGAAUAAGCAUCGGCUAACUCCGUG
rnacentral:rRNA from 1 species